GCUUGCUCGACCUCAAAUAUACCAUGCUGGAUGUCUGCCUCAGGCAGACUCUUCUGGUAAUUUUUAGCUAAAAUAAUUCAACUGUCUCCUAGAAUGAGAUUAGAAAGAUGUAUGUUAGCUUGCUCUGUUCAAAUCAAGAGAUCAAGCAUCUGGCUUCAGAGGCUGGUACUGAUACUCAGCCAGGGAAGGGGGAUGUGCCUUUGCAAGGGUCCUAAGUUCCCCCACCUGUAGUGAAGUUACAAGUUAUACAAAGCCUCACUCUGCAUGUGCCUCAUGGGGGCUUGUUUGAGUUUGGUAGAUUAUUUAUCUGAGGACCCCAUCUGUUUUGGUCUUGCUGCAGGCCAGGGACACAGGUGCUGCCUACCAUCACCAAUGCUGAGGGCUGCCAUCAGCUGUGGCCUUGAAGGUGAAGCAGGGAUCCUCUCAUCCUGCACAUCUGCAAUUCUACAGAUAUUGCUCCUUUGGCAAAGAGCAUCCCAGUGUUGAGAUGAUGAGUUUUUAAGGCAGAGCUGCAACAAACGCCUUGUGAAGCCCAGCCAGCAGCCCCCAGCCCCCUUCUUCCCCUCCUCAAAGUUCACACGGUUUAGUAUGCAAGCUUCCUGCUGCCUGCCCAGCCAGCUCACUAUUCACAGGCGAACUGCGCUCCUCCGCUUGGCUCCCGAAGAAGAAUAAGUAUAAAAAGCCCUGAAAGUCUUGCUGCUGAGCCAGCAGGAAACUCAAACUGCUCUGAGCAUGGGAACCAAGAGAAAUGCUGUGGCCAGCACAACAGUCUUUCUUAACAGAGAUGCUCCAAAGAAAUAAACCUGAGAGCAAUAGGUCAUAUCACCCAACUCAGCACCCCUUGCAAUCACUUCAAGGAGAAGCAGCUGUGAAAAGCCCCCAAAAGAGAAUGUGUGGCCCCAAGUCUUUGGAUAAACACCAAAAAGCAGUUUGGAAACCUGGCUGAAACAAGCUGAUUCUCCAGAGUCUGUAACACCAGUGGAAAAUGUGGCUAAGAGCGUACUUCUGCUAUUAGCAGCUUUCCCAUAAUAGGUUUUUCCUGUGCUAUCUGGGAGUUCCAGGCUCCUCGGGACUUCUGCAGUGCUCCUACCCUGAAAGUCCACUGCAGAGUCAUGGCUGAAGGAGGUAGAUCUGAACUCUUACCUCCUGGGCUCCCAAUUAAAAAGUCCUCUGAAAACAGAGGUAUCUUAAAACUCAGCCUAAAACUAACUGCCUUAGUGACCCUGGCAUGGGCGCUGAGCAGAGAUGAAGGCCUGGUGAGCCAAGCAGUAGGAAAGGCAGCUGCUUGGUGCAGAGAUAAUCUGGGAUGUUCAGAGCAGCCACAUGGAGCCAAGAAUGGAAAACAUGACCAGUCCUUUGUGGUAGAAGGGACAAGAGUCAGAUGCAGAUUUUAGUCAGCAUUGCAAAGCUCAGAGAUUCCAACCAGAGCUUCUCCCUGCUACGGCCACCUGGAAGAAAACAAAGCAGUCCCUGGGGAGCAGCAGCCCCUCAGCCCCUGGAGCUGCCCGCUUUCCAUCCUGCAGAAUGGGGACAUGAAGCAGAGGCACUCACUCCUCUCCUCACCUGUCUCCACUCAAAGAGUACUUUGAGGAAAGGGAAUUAAACUGCAGUACAGCAUUCCUGUGCAGCAGAUGGGCUGCACUGUGGAUCACUCCUGCCCCAGGGAAUGUUGUAUGUACACUGCACAGCUGCAUGGCUUCCCCAUGCCCUUGCAUAUUUUUAAAUGCU